rnacentral:rRNA from 1 species
AUGCCUGAGGGCUUCGCUGAGAUGAUGGCACGCGGGGACCACGGCUUCAUCAUCCGAGGCUGGGCGCCGCAGACGCUCAUCCUCAACCACCCCGCCCUCGGCGGGUUCAUGACGCACUGCGGCUGGAACUCGGCGCUGGAAGCCGUGAGCGCCGACGUGCCGAUGGUCACGUGGCCGCGGUACGCGGACCAGUUCUACAACGAGAAGCUCAUCGUGGAGGUGCUCAAGGUGGGCGUCAGCAUCGGCGCCAAGGACUUCGCCUCGCCUCUGGAGGCCCAUGAGGUGAUCGGCGGCGAGGUGAUCGCUGGAUCCUUCGGGAGGCUGAUGGGGAGCGGCGAGGAGGGCGACGCCGUACGGAAGAAGGCCAAAGACCUCAGUGUGAAAGCAAGGAGCGCCAUGGCGAAGGGCGGAUCUUCAUACGAUGACGUCGGAAGGCUGAUGGAUGAGUUGAUGACUCGCCGAAGUUCCAGAGAAGACACUGGAGCGGCGAGUUUUGGCACGCGUGCCGACUAG